UGGACCAAUGAUGACAAACGGUGGCAUGGGAGUUACGGACGAUGAAUAAUAUGUGUCUGAAACUCUGAGGUCCAA